rnacentral:rRNA from 1 species
UACGUAGGGGGCGAGCGUUGUCCGGAAUUAUUGGGCGUAAAGGGCGCGUAGGCGGUGAUUUAAGUCAGUGGUGAAAACCCGAAGCUUAACUUCGGGAAUGCCAUUGAAACUGGAUGACUUGAGUGCAGGAGAGGUAAGUGGAAUUCCCAGUGUAGCGGUGAAAUGCGUAGAGAUUGGGAGGAACACCAGUGGCGAAGGCGACUUACUGGACUGUAACUGACGCUGAGGCGCGAAAGCUAGGGGAGAGAACAGG